UUUACUUGCUUCCAACAGGAAGGCAGGUUUUCUUGCUUCCAUGAUGAUGGAAGGCAGACAACUCCUUUAUGGAGUUUGAGCUUGCUUCCAACAGGGAAGAUGAGGUUUUUUUUUUUUUCCUUCUUCUAGGAUGGUAGAGAGCAGUCUACAACCUGAGACCCAUCACCAGCUAUUGGAACAGAGGCUACUCUUUGGUUUUCAAGAAAGAGUGUGGCUGUGCGUAGUGGCUCAUGCCUGUCAUCCCAACACUUUGGGACACCGAGGCGGGAGGAUCACGAGGUCAGGAGUUCAAGACCAGCAUGGACAACCUGGUGAAACCUCAUCUCUACUAAAAAUACAAAAAUUAGCUGGGCAUGGUGGUGUGUGCCUGUAAUCCCAGCUACUCAGGAGGCUGAGGCAGGAGAAUUGUUUGAACCGGGACCCAAGAGGACACAAUUGGAGAAAUUAUUUUACCAAGGCUUUGACUGGAAUGAUGUGCUUUCCUUUAAAGAAUAAACUUGACUUAUGGAGCCAAUAAAGCCCUUUUGAAAAACUGGCCUCAUGUUUUAUGUACACAGUCCAUGUGCAGGGGUUCUGACCUGUGAUAAGUGAAGAAUGUUACUUUCUGACAGGCACAGAAACCCCCAGGUUCAUCUUGGAACCUCAAGAGGAGAGGAAAUUCACCCAGUUCAUAGGUAUUUGAUAGCACAAAGUCAUGGCUGUGCUUGACUUUAAAAAGUCUUGUCUGAGAUUCAUCCUAUGGAACAAAGUUCCAUCAAAGCCAAUUUAAAAGCCUAUGUAAAAAAUAAUUAUGCUUGCUGUGCUAUAUAUACAAAUAAUUAGGCCAAGUAUAGUAAGCAAACCAUUUCUACUAUGAUUUGUCUUUAGUAAAUGAGAAACUUGAGAGAAAAAA